UAUGUUUAUUAAAUAAUCUUACCCGAAAAAUUAAGAUCUACGCUAUUUUGAUUUUUAGAAAAUAAAUGUUUAAUGUAGCAUCAUUAUUAGUAAAAAAUCGCGUAGGGGUGAAAUACUAUCAAUUUAUUUGAUAUCUGGAUUAAACUGAAAUGAAUAUAGUUCAUAAAAUAAUCACAAAGUUAUAAGAUUUUGUGAAGCAAGAAUAAAAAUUUAAUAAGCUUUCAACGAAAUAAAUUUUUAGAUUGAUUGACAAUAAAAAUAUUUAUAUUUAUGCUAAUCUGUGCUAUUAAGUUUAUAUCUGUAAAAAUUUCUGGAUGGAUUAAUAAUGUUUAAAUUAGUAAACUAAGCAAAUUUAACUAAAGGAACUCGGCAAACAUAAUCUUCAACUAGUUUAUCAAAAACAUAGCUUUUAGAAAAUACAUUUAAAGUUUAAUCUGCCCAGUGAUAAAUUUAACGGCCGCAGUACAUUGACUGUGCUAAGGUAGCAUAAUAAGUUGACUCUUAAUUGGAGUCGGGUAUGAACGGAUAGCUGGAGAUUUUCUGUCUCAGGUUAUUUAUGUUUAAAUUACUAAAAAGGUGAAAAUUCCUUUAUUGACUAUGUUAGACGAGAAGACCCUGAGAAUUAUUACUAAAAAUCUGUCUGUUUAAGUUUUUGUUGGGGCAACAAAUUAGGUUAACCGACUUAUUAAUAUAAUUUCAUGUAAUGACUUUAUGGAAUGGCAUAAAUUACCUCAGGGAUAACAGCAUAAUUAUUUUAUUAGAUUGUGACCUCGAUGUUGGACUAAGGGCUUUAUUAAAUAGCCUUUAAUAAAGAUAGUUCUGUUCGAACUGAGAACCUUACAU
rnacentral:rRNA from 1 species